GAUGAACGCUAGCGGCAGGCCUAAUACAUGCAAGUCGAACGGUAACAGGUGUAGCAAUACAUGCUGACGAGUGGCGCACGGGUGCGUGACACGUUUGUAACUUACCUUUAACUGGAGGAUAGCUCCUCGAAAGAGGGAUUAAUACUCCAUAACAUUAUGAAAUGGCAUCAUUUUAUAUUUAAAGCUCCGGCGGUUAAAGAUAGACAUGCGUCUGAUUAGCUAGUUGGCGAGGUAAAAGCUCACCAAGGCUACGAUCAGUAGGGGUUCUGAGAGGAUAUACCCCCACACUGGUACUGAGACACGGACCAGACUCCUACGGGAGGCAGCAGUAAGGAAUAUUGGACAAUGGAGGCAACUCUGAUCCAGCCAUGCCGCGUGAAGGAUGAAGGUGCUACGCAUUGUAAACUUCUUUUUGAACGGGAGAAAACCUUUGGUCGUGUACCGAAGCUGAUAGUACCGUUAGAUAAGGGUCGGCUAACUUCGUGCCAGCAG
rnacentral:rRNA from 1 species